AAUGGGGGAAACCCUGACGCAGCAACGCCGCAUGAGUGAUGAAGGCCUUCGGGUCGUAAAGCUCUGUCAGAGGGAAAGAAAUGUGAGCGGCUAAUAUCCGUUCCACUUGACGGUACCCUCAGAGGAAGCACCGGCUAACUCCGUGCCAGCAGCCGCGGUAAUACGGAGGGUGCAAGCGUUGUUCGGAAUUAUUGGGCGUAAAGCGCGUGUAGGCGGUUUCUUAAGUCUGAUGUGAAAGCCCCGGGCUCAACCUGGGAAGUGCAUUGGAAACUGGGGGACUUGAGUACGGGAGAGGAGAGUGGAAUUCCUAGUGUAGGAGUGAAAUCCGUAGAUAUUAGGAGGAACACCGGUGGCGAAGGCGGCUCUCUGGACCGAUACUGACGCUGAGACGCGAAAGCGUGGGUAGCAAA
rnacentral:rRNA from 1 species